UCUCCAGCCACUCGUGUCUCGUCCAGGUGUUCCUCGUUGUCUCGUCAAUCUGUUUGUAUUUAAUUCCCUGGUUUCGUUCAGUUCUUGUUGGUUCAUUGUCUUUGCAGUAUGUCAUUGUCAGGGGUCAUUGUCCCUAUCUGUUCCAUAUCCUACUCACCAGUGAUAGUUUGUUUCCAGUUUUAGGAAUUUAAGUGUUACUUUAGUUCGGUUGUGGGACUUUAUUUAGUUUUGCUUUAUCAAUGUUCCUUGUUGGCCCUUCUUGAAGCUUAAAUAUAAUUUUUUUUGAGACUCCCGUAGUCCUGCCUUGCCUCCCCGCUUCCCUGCACUUGGGUCCUCCACGUUUUUUGCCUUUCCUUCCUCGCCUUCGACCACCCCAACCGUGACAGAAUACUUUGGCCACUAUGGACCCAGCAACUCCGGAGGCACUGAAGAACGCACAAACCCUCCAAGGCGCCCACAUUGGACGACAGGACAAAAUACUGCAAGAAAUCACCGAACCGCUCCACUCCCUUUCGCAACAGGUCUCCCUCCUUCCCCAACAGAUGCCAUCCAUUCAACUCCCUUGUUCCUGACCCACGUCAUUCCUGCCAGCCCCCUAUUCUGUCCACUGCCUGCCACCUGCCCACGCUGCCGCCUGUCAACACAUCCAGGACCACUUUCAUAACCUUUGCUCAAUAAACUGUUCAUCAUUUUACAUCA